rnacentral:rRNA from 1 species
UACAGAGGUCCCAAGCGUUGUUCGGAUUCACUGGGCGUAAAGGGUGCGUAGGCGGUCGGGUAAGUCUGUCGUGAAAUCUCCGAGCCUAACUCGGAAACUGCGUCGGAUACUAUUCGGCUAGAGGAAUGGAGGGGAGACUGGAAUUCUCGGUGUAGCAGUGAAAUGCGUAGAUAUCGAGAGGAACACCAGUGGCGAAGGCGACUACCUGGCCUGUUCUUGACGCUGAGGCGCGAAAGCUAGGGGAGCAAACGGG